rnacentral:rRNA from 1 species
UACAGAGGGGGCAAGCGUUGUUCGGAAUUACUGGGCGUAAAAGGGUCUGUAGGUGGCCAACUAAGUCAGACGUGAAAUCCCUCAGCUUAACUGGGGAACUGCGUCCGAUACUGGAUGGCUCGAGUUUGGGAGAGGGAUGCGGAAUUCCAGGUGUAGCGGUGAAAUGCGUAGAUAUCUGGAGGAACACCGGUGGCGAAGGCGGGUCUCUGGGCCGAUACUGACGCUGAGGAGCGAAAGCGUGGGGAGCGAACAGG